rnacentral:rRNA from 1 species
UACGAGGGGUGCAAGCGUUGCUCGGAAUUAUUGGGCGUAAAGGGUAGGUAGGUGGUCUCAUUUGUCUGGGGUGAAAGCCUUGAGCUUAACUCAAGAAGUGCCCCGGAAACGGUGAGACUAGAGUCUUGGAGAGGGUCGUGGAAUUCCCGGUGUAGCGGUGAAAUGCGUAGAGAUCGGGAAGAACACCCGUGGCGAAGGCGGCUCUCUGGGACGGUACUGACGCUGAGACGCGAAAGCGUGGGGAGCGAACAGG